CUCUGUGGUGGUUAAAUCCCUGAAACUUCAGGUCCCGCCUCACCCCCACUGGAUGAGAUCAUAAGGACAAAAGCAAGCAAGGCUGAGCACACACUGGAUAUGGCAGUCAUACAGCCGAUAUCUUCGAUUGCAAUAAGGCUGGAAUCCUCUUGCACACUUAACUUGGUCCACUAAAAGUAGUUGGAAACUCAUCUUUCCAAGUAAACGCGUAUGGAACCAGCCUCUGACGCUACAAGUAAGCUAUAUGCUUCUGAAGGAGCCUUAAGUAGGGAUAGGGAUGCGCCCGGGGGAUGAGGAGGGGAGGGGUCGUCCCCCGCAGUGGAAUCCUCCUCCGCCCCUCUCCCCCCUCCCAAACGCCCUGGCUUUCACCAUCUCCUUAUAUGGACUCCAGAAUGUCUGACGUCACCUCCAACGCUGGGAAAACCAGUGUCGGAGCAACCAAACCUCCUUUGGGCAGGAGAGCUGGAAAGAGAAAAGGUGGAGGGAGGGGGGAAGGAGAAGCCGAGGGCAGGGAGGACCCAGGGGGUGGAGUCGGAAUGCAGAUGGACGCGGGCGCUCCUCCAAUGAAAGGAGGAUUGGCCUUCCAUCAUUGGCCGAGGCGGGGAGGAGGCGGGGACAGACGGUCCCCUUCUGCCCAGGGUUGCAGGAGGAAUGCAAGGGAAGGGCAGGGAACGGGUUAGGCUGCGCCGGCUGAAAAGCGCCGCCUGCCUGCAGAAGGGGCGUCAGUCAGCGCUGCCGGGCGAGGAGUUGGGAAGGCGCUGCGGGAGAGGCUCGGCGUCCGCGGAGACUUCUUCAAGGGAGCUGGGUGGGGUGGAGAAAAAGAA